rnacentral:piRNA from 1 species
UGCGAUAUUCAGACAAAAUCC